AGAGUUUGAUCCUGGCUCAGGAUGAACGCUGGCGGCGUGCUUAACACAUGCAAGUCGAACGAUGAAGCCGGAGCUUGCUCUGGUGGAUUAGUGGCGAACGGGUGAGUAACACGUGAGUAACCUGCCCUUGACUCUGGGAUAAGCGUUGGAAACGACGUCUAAUACCGGAUACGACGCGCGAAGGCAUCUUCUGCGCGUGGAAAGAAUUUCGGUCAAGGAUGGACUCGCGGCCUAUCAGCUAGUUGGUGAGGUAACGGCCCACCAAGGCGACGACGGGUAGCCGGCCUGAGAGGGUGACCGGCCACACUGGGACUGAGACACGGCCCAGACUCCUACGGGAGGCAGCAGUGGGGAAUAUUGCACAAUGGGCGCAAGCCUGAUGCAGCAACGCCGCGUGAGGGACGACGGCCUUCGGGUUGUAAACCUCUUUUAGUAGGGAAGAAGCGAAAGUGACGGUACCUGCAGAAAAAGCACCGGCUAACUACGUGCCAGCAGCCGCGGUAAUACGUAGGGUGCAAGCGUUAUCCGGAAUUAUUGGGCGUAAAGAGCUCGUAGGCGGUUUGUCGCGUCUGCUGUGAAAACUGGAGGCUCAACCUCCAGCCUGCAGUGGGUACGGGCAGACUAGAGUGCGGUAGGGGAGAUUGGAAUUCCUGGUGUAGCGGUGGAAUGCGCAGAUAUCAGGAGGAACACCGAUGGCGAAGGCAGAUCUCUGGGCCGUAACUGACGCUGAGGAGCGAAAGCGUGGGGAGCGAACAGGAUUAGAUACCCUGGUAGUCCACGCCGUAAACGUUGGGAACUAGAUGUAGGGACCAUUCCACGGUUUCUGUGUCGCAGCUAACGCAUUAAGUUCCCCGCCUGGGGAGUACGGCCGCAAGGCUAAAACUCAAAGGAAUUGACGG
rnacentral:rRNA from 1 species